AGUCACUCGGUGGCAACAGCAGCAGCAGAGGCGCCCACCUGGCUGAGCAGAGAGACACGGUACUCACGGCGGGUGUGGGGGGCACAAGGCGCUCACAGAGGCCCCAGAGAACCGGCUCAGAGGCCAGCAGGGCAGAAGGGGGAGUCAGCCGGGUGAGCAGCUCUGCGCCCCGCCGGCCCCCACACCGACCACAGCAGAGGAGACCGGCGGCCUCACUCCCCGCGCCGGCCCCAGAGCCCCGCCCGUGCAGGUGCAGUAGGGCCCGGGGCACAGGCGCGGGGGAGCCGGCAGGGAUGGCUGCGCCCAGCCAACGGCAGCAGGACCACGAACACCCCACUGCACCCCGUUCCAUGAGGGCAGCUUCCUGUGAGCCAGACACGGCCCUGUCCAAGGGAUCCUACCGCCCCGGCCCAGGCCACGCCCCAAGGAACGCCCUGUGGGUGGUGCUGAGCGGCACAGUCCCCAGGCCCCGCGGCCGGCCCUGCAUUCGCUCUCUCGUGCCUUCCCUGGGGGAAACGCCCAGCCUGGCAGCACAGAACCUUUAGUUACACAGGCCUGAGUUUGAGGUCCGGGGAAUGGGAAAGUGAAACGUGAUCGCUGAACCUGCGUCUCCCAUGUUCACACUAUGUCCAGCAGUGAAAGUCCAUCGAGCCUCCGACCCAAGCAACAGGCAUUCUUCUACCCUUCCCCUGGCUGGCCUCCCUUCCCACCUCACAACGCUCACAUGAAUAAAGCGUGUCCCUCAUGCCACUAGAAGAGCUCAGCCUGGGCCACAGCCCCCUCUUGGUGGCCCUGGAGAGGCCUCCUCUCCAAGAACACCAGCCCACCAUGGUCCUCUGAGGACGCAGGGCCAGACACCAAGCGGGCAGGUGGCACGGAAAGAAAAUAUCGCAAGCUCUGUUCGCCUAAAAAUAUCGCUCUUCUAAGGUGAAUGCAGAAGAAUUUUCAUGUAUAUGACUGACCUUCACAAAUCCAGCCAGCAUUAGCCCAUCAAGCACUGAACACAUUUAUCUAGAAUUUAAACAAUUUUACUUAUUCUGCAAGCUGAGAUCCUCUUUACUUAAAACUGUUUGUCAUAUAGAUGAAGGGACCCGUCAGACAGAACAUUUUAUUUGGUUAAAAAUUGGAUGGCAUACAUAUUUACACAGUAUUAGUGGGACAGAAAUGACCGUUUUGAAGUAUGCCCUCAGCCAUGGCUGCUGGCCAUGGGCUCCAGCCGGCCACGCCCUGCAGGUCCCCAUCGUUAAGCUCAUCCUGGUUCAGAAUCAAAGGUUAAUAUUUAAGUGGCUUUUCAAUUUGUGUAUUCAAAGAUAGUAUUAUGACCUGUAAGCUACAGAAACAUUCUCAUAUCCUUUAAGCCUUGUUCACACAGAGAAACUGUAUCUAAAAUUCUAAAAAGUUCUAUUAAUCACAAUGGUAAUUUUUAAAGCUUAGAAAGAAGAGGAAAAGACAUCACCUGUAGGUCUGUUACCCAGAAACGGCCAACACCCCACCGGUGCCCUGAGUUCAUCCCGUGCCCAUGCCGAGGCCUGGUUUGCUCCGGGUCCUGUCGCCAGGACACUGGACACUGCAGCUGGGCAGCUGCAGACCCUCCCUGUACUUUCUCCACCCAGGGUCGGGCAUCGGGGUUGUGGAGGGACAGGCAGAUGGGAGAGGGCAGGGGUGAGACUCAGGGCUGGGCCCUGGGUUAGAAUCUCUGGCUCCCUCACUUUUUGGCAAGGGUCCAGGCACCUGUGCCUCAGUUUACUCAUCUGUGCAGAGAGCAGUCAUCGCGCCCAGCACAGAAGGCUGUUGAAAGGAUUGGACAAGUUAAAUGAUGGAAAUGGCUCAGAUGUUUAUGCACCAGUGCCACAGAUGUCCCAGAUCCAUGUAACUAUCAGUCUAAUGCUACCGUUACCACUCUUAAAAGUAUUUCAGAUAAUGAAAUAAAACAGACUUUCCAGAUUCUGACAUGAUGUAAAAAGGCAUCCGUAGGGAUCACUGACCUGAGGUUUCUGGAGAUGAGCCUGGCCCUGCCAUGACACAGGUGGGGUCAUGAUGCAGAGGACAGCCACCUGCAGCUGCCACCACCUGACAGGAUACAGGACAGUCACCCCCACCUGUCACCACCACGGAGGAC
rnacentral:lncRNA from 1 species